AUUGAACGCUGGCGGCAGGCUUAACGCAUGCAAGUCGAGCGGGGUGAUGGUGCUUGCACUAUCACUUAGCGGCGGACGGGUGAGUAAUGCUUAGGAAUCUGCCUAUUAGUGGGGGACAACAUCUCGAAAGGGAUGCUAAUACCGCAUACGUCCUACGGGAGAAAGCAGGGGAUCACUUGUGACCUUGCGCUAAUAGAUGAGCCUAAGUCGGAUUAGCUAGUUGGUGGGGUAAAGGCCUACCAAGGCGACGAUCUGUAGCGGGUCUGAGAGGAUGAUCCGCCACACUGGGACUGAGACACGGCCCAGACUCCUACGGGAGGCAGCAGUGGGGAAUUUUGGACAAUGGGCGAAAGCCUGAUCCAGCAAUGCCGCGUGUGUGAAGAAGGCCUUCGGGUUGUAAAGCACUUUUGUCCGGAAAGAAAUGGCACUGGUUAAUACCUGGGGUCGAUGACGGUACCGGAAGAAUAAGGACCGGCUAACUACGUGCCAGCCGCCGCCGUAA
rnacentral:rRNA from 1 species